rnacentral:rRNA from 1 species
UACGGAGGGUGCAAGCGUUAUCCGGAUUCACUGGGUUUAAAGGGUGCGUAGGCGGCCAGGCAAGUCAGUGGUGAAAUCUCCGAGCUUAACUCGGAAACUGCCAUUGAUACUAUUUGUCUUGAAUAUUGUGGAGGUAAGCGGAAUAUGUCAUGUAGCGGUGAAAUGCUUAGAUAUGACAUAGAACACCAAUUGCGAAGGCAGCUUACUACACAAUGAUUGACGCUGAGGCACGAAAGCGUGGGGAUCAAACAGG